rnacentral:rRNA from 1 species
GGCGACGACCGGCGCACGGGUGAGUAACGCGUAUGCAACCUGCCUUGUACAGGGGGAUAGCCCGGAGAAAUCCGGAUUAAUACCGCAUAAUGAUGUUUUCCUGCAUGGGAAAAUAUUUAAACCUUUUUGGGGUACAAGAUGGGCAUGCGUAGCAUUAGCUUGUUGGUGAGGUAACGGCUCACCAAGGCGAUGAUGCUUAGGGGGUCUGAGAGGAUAGUCCCCCACACUGGUACUGAGACACGGACCAGACUCCUACGGGAGGCAGCAGUGAGGAAUAUUGGUCAAUGGACGCAAGUCUGAACCAGCCAUGUCGCGUGCAGGAUGACGGCCCUAUGGGUUGUAAACUGCUUUUUUACGGGAAUAAACGCAUCUACGUGUAGGUGUCUGAAGGUACCGUAUGAAUAAGGAUCGGCUAACUCCGUGCCAGCAGCCGCGGUAAUACGGAGGAUUCGAGCGUUAUCCGGAUUUAUUGGGUUUAAAGGGUCCGUAGGCGAGCUUGUAAGUCAGUGGUGAAAUCCCGGAGCUCAACUCCGGAACUGCCAUUGAUACUGCAGGUCUUGAAUUUAGUUGAGGUGGGCGGAAUACGUUAUGUAGCGGUGAAAUGCAUAGAUAUAACGUAGAACACCGAUGCGAAGGCAGCUCACUAAGCUAAUAUUGACGCUGAUGGACGAAAGCGUGGGGAGCGAACAGGAUUAGAUACCCUGGUAGUCCGCGCCGUAAACGAUGAUUACUCGUUGUGCGCGAUACACAGUGCGCGACUGAGCGAAAGCAUUAAGUAAUCCACCUGGGGAGUACGUUGGCAACAAUGAAACUCAAGGAAUUGACGGGGCCCGCACAAGCGGA